UAGCUACAGGCUUAACACAUGCAAGUCGAGGGGCAGCAUGGUCUUAGCUUGCUAAGGCCGAUGGCGACCGGCGCACGGGUGAGUAACGCGUAUCCAACCUGCCUUACACUCUUGGACAGCCUUCUGAAAGGGAGAUUAAUACAAGAUGUUAUCAUGAGUAAGCAUUUUCGCAUGAUUAAAGGUUUACCGGUGUAAGAUGGGGAUGCGUUCCAUUAGAUAGUAGGCGGGGUAACGGCCCACCUAGUCUUCGAUGGAUAGGGGUUCUGAGAGGAAGGUCCCCCACAUUGGAACUGAGACACGGUCCAAACUCCUACGGGAGGCAGCAGUGAGGAAUAUUGGUCAAUGGACGAGAGUCUGAACCAGCCAAGUAGCGUGAAGGAUGAAGGUUCUAUGGAUUGUAAACUUCUUUUAUACGGGAAUAAACGAAUCCACGUGUGGAUUUUUGCAUGUACCGUAUGAAUAAGGAUCGGCUAACUCCGUGCCAGCAGCCGCGGUAAUACGGAGGAUCCGAGCGUUAUCCGGAUUUAUUGGGUUUAAAGGGAGCGUAGAUGGGUUGUUAAGUCAGUUGUGAAAGUUUGCGGCUCAACCGUAAAAUUGCAAUUGAUACUGGCAGUCUUGAGUACAGUUGAGGUAGGCGGAAUUCGUGGUGUAGCGGUGAAAUGCUUAGAUAUCACGAAGAACUCCGAUUGCGAAGGCAGCUUACUAACCUGUAACUGACAUUGAUGCUCGAAAGUGUGGGUAUCAAACAGGAUUAGAUACCCUGGUAGUCCACACGGUAAACGAUGAAUACUCGCUGUAGGCGGUAUACAGUCUGCGGCCAAGCGAAAGCAUUAAGUAUUCCACCUGGGGAGUACGCCGGCAACGGUGAAACUCAAAGGAAUUGACGGGGGCCCGCACAAGCGGAGGAACAUGUGGUUUAAUUCGAUGAUACGCGAGGAACCUUACCCGGGCUUAAAUUGCAACCGAAUAUGGCGGAAACGCUAUAGCUAGCAAUAGCGGUUGUGAAGGUGCUGCAUGGUUGUCGUCAGCUCGUGCCGUGAGGUGUCGGCUUAAGUGCCAUAACGAGCGCAACCCUUGCCGAUAGUUACUAACAGGUCAUGCUGAGGACUCUGUCGGGACUGCCAUCGUAAGAUGUGAGGAAGGUGGGGAUGACGUCAAAUCAGCACGGCCCUUACGUCCGGGGCUACACACGUGUUACAAUGGGGGGUACAGAGGGCUGCUACCACGCAAGUGGAUGCCAAUCCCAAAAACCUCUCUCAGUUCGGAUUGAAGUCUGCAACCCGACUUCAUGAAGCUGGAUUCGCUAGUAAUCGCGCAUCAGCCACGGCGCGGUGAAUACGUUCCCGGGCCUUGUACACACCGCCCGUCAAGCCAUGGGAGCCGGGGGUACCUGAAGUGCGUAACCGCAAGGAGCGCCCUAGGGUAAAACUGGUGACUGGGGCU
rnacentral:rRNA from 1 species